rnacentral:pre_miRNA from 1 species
GGGGGGAGCGCCGGAUCCUGAGCUGUGUCCCCGGUGCCCUGGGCUCUGGGGCCUGCGCCGCUGGAAUCGCGCUCCCGGCCGCACAGCUCCCU